CAAAGGAAUUGACGGGGACCCGCACAAGCGGUGGAUGAUGUGGAUUAAUUCGAUGCAACGCGAAGAACCUUACCUACCCUUGACAUGUCCGGAACUUGCCAGAGAUGGCUUGGUGCCCGAAAGGGAACCUAGACACAGGUGCUGCAUGGCUGUCGUCAGCUCGUGUCGUGAGAUGUUGGGUUAAGUCCCGCAACGAGCGCAACCCUUGUCAUUAAUUGCCAUCAUUCAGUUGGGCACUUUAAUGAGACUGCCGGUGACAAACCGGAGGAAGGUGGGGAUGACGUCAAGUCCUCAUGGCCCUUAUGGGUAGGGCUUCACACGUAAUACAAUGGUCGGUACAGAGGGUUGCCAACCCGCGAGGGGGAGCCAAUCCCAGAAAACCGAUCGUAGUCCGGAUUGUAGUCUGCAACUCGACUGCAUGAAGUCGGAAUCGCUAGUAAUCGCGGAUCAGCAUGUCGCGGUGAAUACGUUCCCGGGCCUU
rnacentral:rRNA from 1 species